rnacentral:lncRNA from 1 species
GUCCCAAGAAGAAGUCUAUGGAGUUUGGAAUUAUGUGAAGCAAAUUAUUGGAAUUGAUAGUUAGUUUUAGAGAAUUCCAAUAAUUGGAUAGGAAAUGUUUUAUAUAAUCUUUUAAGAUAGUACAGUAUUAUCUAUUGUUGUCAUAAGUUAAGAAAAGAGAAGAGAUAGUCAAUGCAUAGUAUAGAAUUAUAGAUUGUAAUAUUUUAUUUGAUAGAAUGUGAGAGGCAUU